CUUCAUGGAAAACACAACUUGAAGUCCCUCCCAAAUGAGAUAUUGGAGCUCUCCAACUCAUUUGCCCAUAGACGUGGUGGGAAGCACUCACAGCCGGACAAGACCAAGGGUUGGCCCUGGUCAUCUGGGCUAGACUGUACAGUGGGACAUCCUUCAUUUAGGAAGAUAAAGAAAGCUUUCCCAUGACCUAUAGGCAACAAUGUGAGAUGGAGUGGCAGAUGUUUCAUAUUAUAAAAGCUGGACAACUGAUGUCAACAGCCACAAAAUCUCUGCUUCAAAAUAAAUAAAGUAGGAUGCUACA